CCUACGGGAGGCAGCAGUCGAGAAUCAUUCACAAUGGGGGAAACCCUGAUGGUGCGACGCCGCGUGGGGGAAUGAAGGUCUUCGGAUUGUAAACCCCUGUCAUGUGGGAGCAAAUUAAAAAGAUCGUACCCCAAGAGGAAGAGACGGCUAACUCUGUGCCAGCAGCCGCGGUAAUACAGAGGUCUCAAGCGUUGUUCGGAAUCACUGGGCGUAAAGCGUGCGUAGGCUGUUUCGUAAGUCGUGUGUGAAAGGCGCGGGCUCAACCCGCGGACGGCACAUGAUACUGCGAGACUAGAGUAAUGGAGGGGGAACCGGAAUUCUCGGUGUAGCAGUGAAAUGCGUAGAUAUCGAGAGGAACACUCGUGGCGAAGGCGGGUUCCUGGACAUUAACUGACGCUGAGGCACGAAGGCCAGGGGAGCGAAAGGGAUUAGAUACCCGAGUAGUC
rnacentral:rRNA from 1 species